CCUACGGGUGGCAGCAGUCGAGAAUCAUUCACAAUGGGGGAAACCCUGAUGGUGCGACGCCGCGUGGGGGAAUGAAGGUCUUCGGAUUGUAAACCCCUGUCAUGUGGGAGCAAAUUAAAAAGAUAGUACCACAAGAGGAAGAGACGGCUAACUCUGUGCCAGCAGCCGCGGUAAUACAGAGGUCUCAAGCGUUGUUCGGAAUCACUGGGCGUAAAGCGUGCGUAGGCUGUUUCGUAAGUCGUGUGUGAAAGGCGCGGGCUCAACCCGCGGACUGCACAUGAUACUGCGAGACUAGAGUAAGGGAGGGGGAACCGGAAUUCGCGGUGUAGCAGUGAAAUGCGUAGAUAUCGAGAGGAACACUCGUGGCGAAGGCGGGUGCCUGGACAUUAACUGACGCUGAGGCACGAAGGCCAGGGGAGCGAAAGGGAUUAGAUACCCGUGUAGUC
rnacentral:rRNA from 1 species